UUGAUUAGUAAGGGCGACUGAAAAUCGAAGAGCUCACCAUGUGAAUCUGUACAACCAGAUGGAUGUACCGAAUUGUGGUAUAUAGAAGCAUCAAUUGACUAGUCGGGUUAAGUCCCUUGGAACAGGGCAGCUUAGAGGGUGACACUCCCGUCUAUACCCGAAAGUCACAAUAUUGUGCUCUCUAUGAGUCGAGUUGCUUGGGAUUGCAGCUCAAAGUGGGUGGUAAAUUCCAUCUAAAGCUAAAUAUUGGUGGAAGACCGAUAGCGUACAAGUACCGUGAGGGAAAGAUGCAAAGAACUUUGAAAAGAGAGUUAAAGAGUACCUGAAAUUGCUGAAAGGGAAGCGAACCGGAAAAGUGCUGCCCUUAAUCAUUCUUCUCACACUGCUUGCAGUUUGAGCGCUGUGAUUAAGGUUAGGCCAGUAUGGGUUUGGACUGAAGCAAAUAGCCAUCUAGGAGGUAGGUCCUUCUGGACUGUAGACUAUUUGGUGUUGUUUCGGCUCAGACUGAGGUAGUCAUAUGCUCGUGAUGCUGGCAAAAUUUUCCGGUUUACCCCGUCUUGAAACACGGACCAAGGAGUUUAACAUGUGUGCGAGUACAGGAGUGGCAAACUCCCAUGCGCAAUGAAAGUAAUAGUGGUAGGACCUCUAUGGGGCACUAUCCGCCGGUCACAAUCCUUCGGGAGAAAGGUCUGAGUGUGAGCAUAUAUGUUGAGACCCGAAAGAUGAUGAACUAUGCCUGAAUAGGGUGAAGCCAGGGGAAACUCUGGUGGAGGCUCGUAGCGAUUCUGACU
rnacentral:rRNA from 1 species